UAUACAAUUAAAAAAAAACCUAUUAAGCAUUAUCUUCACUUUUUGCAGAACUUGUUGCUUUUUGAGUUCUUCGUGCAUGAAGUACAGAAAGUGGAACAAAACCUACUCCUACAAUAUGGAGCCAAAUGGCAGUGGUUCCUCCUACAGAGCCACCCACGCACAGCUCUGUGUGAUGUGCUGCACAAAGCAGACACAGGAUGAGAGUUAAAUGAACAGCAGAGCUCACAUUCAAAGAUGGAAACGGGCCUGAAACAGUUUGCCCUUCUGUUCCUCACAGCAGCACUGGCAGCUAGGGUGAUAUCAACUCAACGUGUUGUAUAUCUGACUGAAAAGGAGGCAAAGACAAGAGUGGAGGUUGAAGUUGGUUCUUCUGUGAUUUUUAACUGCAGUUUGAACACAACGAACAUUAAGGAGUGUAACAUUGAGUGGCAUUUUUGCCCCUCUGACAAUAAAAAAGGGGCAUGCAAGAAUAAGUCAUUGAACUGCAACAAGACGAACCACCUGUCCUCUGUUAACGAAACACACAGUGGACGGUACUCGUGCAAAGUCGUAGGAAAGAUUCCCAUACCAUGCAUAAUUCUGAGCACUGAAAGAGAGCUAUAUGUUUCUAACUCUACAAACUCUGGCUUGGUGAUUCAAUGGUGGAUGUGGAUCAUUUUGGGAGUGUCGUUAUUUUUGCUGAUCAUCUUGACGGUCGUGUGCUGGUUGAAAAUAAAAAGAUUCCACAGAAGUAAAGCAGAGCCAGUCUACAUCAAUACCAAAAAGAGGCAUCAUUUACCUCAACCAGUGAAGUCCGCAGACAACUUACACCCAGUGGGCUCUUGUCAAAGCCACCACAGCAUCUCCAGCUCUGCACGAAGAAACCACAAAGACAAACAAGCAUGCAAACCCUGAGCAGCUUCUGGACACCACUGCUCACGUUUAGCAGCACAUUGUAACUGCGACACAAUGAAACUGCCAGUGUGAACUCACAGGAUUGACUCAGGCAGGCCAAACAACAACAUGUAACUAAAUACAACCUGCUCAGUAAGAUAAAUAUAAAGAAAAUAAUCAUUUAAUGAUGAUAAGUUAGUUAUAGUGAGAUAACAGGAGCAGUGCAGCAUGUACAACUUAUCAGAUUUAGGAGGGAAUUACUUUUUCCACUUUAGGCCAGGUUUACGUAAAUGUUUUUAAAUGAAUAAAUUAAAAAUAAUUAACA
rnacentral:lncRNA from 1 species